GCUCCAGAUGUUGGCGAGUCGACUCCGGGUUAAGUCGAGUCGACUCCCAGUCAAGGCAUGCACUUUAAUUCAAAUUUGGAACAGUGGCCGAGUCGUCUCCAGUAAAGCACGAGCCGACUCCUGCAACAGGCGAGUCGACUCCUGAUCGCGCGAGUCGACUCCGAUCCCAACGGUAAUAUUGUCAGGAAGUGCAGACUGUGUCCAACGGCUCUAUUUUUGUCUCUAACGGCUAUAUUCUUGUUUCCACGCCAUCU
rnacentral:lncRNA from 1 species